rnacentral:lncRNA from 1 species
CACAUCUCAAGAUCUUGCAGUGGAUCUGAUACAAUUCACGAGGGGACUCUUCAGCAGGGAAAAGUCAAACCUGGCACUCUUCCCAUGUUGGAUAGAGGGAUGCAACUCUGAGAAGAAAUGCGGUGGUCUGGAUUCUCUUCCAGCUGCUGCCACUGCUCUGCCACGUGGCAGCAGGCAUUUUUCUUCCCUCCUACAAAACACCAUUGUUCGGGCAUGGGAGUGCUGCUGUCUGAUGGUCUGGAAUGUGCACGUGAAAAACAUCAGUGAAUUUGAUGGGGUGUUGUUAAGUUCUGCAUCAGAGGCUUCUGGAUGGUGUUACUGCUGGUCAUGGGGUUGUUUCCUUUCUUUGGGGAUAAAGCAUAGAUUGGUGUAAGGUUUAAGGGAAUAUGUUUAAGGAAACAUUGAGGACGUUGACGUGUUCAUCUCUGUUCUGAUGCUGGAUGAGGCAUUUUAGGGGGUAGAGUUUAAGGGCAGACCAGAGAAGUCAGAGAAAGUGACUGAAAGGACUGUGAAAGGUGGCAGAAGUUCUGCCCUUGGCUUCAAGAUUCCUCUGAACCACUCCUGGAACCAUUCCUUUCACCUUCCAAGUGAAAGUGGUAUAGAGAAGUGAAAUAACCAUGAGGGACUGCAAACAAACAGACCUUGUGAGACUGAGGAGGCAUUAAAUAGCAAACACAAUUCAAUGUAAAUUAAUGUGAAGUGACUCAUAAGAGGGGAAAAAAUUAAAAAUGUCUUAGUGCCACAUAUAAAAUGUUGUACUUCCAACUGCUUGCUGUUGCUGAGGGUUGAGAUGUUGAAGCUAUCAUAGAUACAUCUGUGAAAAUGUCAAACUGGCACUCAACAGUAGCCAAAAAAGGAAUCCAAAUACUAGAAACUGAUGGGAAAGGAACAGGCAGCAAAGUGGAAAUGUGGUGUUGUGACAGUGUGCAAGUCUGAGGCCUCCUGCACAGAAAAUACCAUGCAGCUCUGCUGUCUGAAAAGGACAUAAUGGAACUGGAAACAAACCAGCAAAUGACACCAGCGAUAGAUAGAGGCAUGGCACUGUUUCUAUAUGAGAAAUGACAGAGUGGGUUAAGACAUGGAAAAGACAAAUGGGCAAAUGCAUGAUAGAACGACACAGAUAACCUUAAAAAAAAAAGAAAAAGAAAGAAAAAAAAAAAGAAAAUUAGUGAGUAUUGUUUCUUUUAGUGUACUAUCUGGAAGCCAUCAACCAAAGCUGUUAUUUCCUAUGUACAAAAUUAACAGAAGGAGGUGGCUGUAGAAGUUCUUAUAUCAGGACAUGCAAUUUUGGCCUCAAAAAGUCCCCAGGCUACAAAGUACUGGGACAUAGGGAAAGAAUCUGUGGAAAAGAAUGAAAUAUCAUUGUGUACUUU